rnacentral:rRNA from 1 species
AUAAUGGGUCAGCGACUUAUAUUCUGUAGCAAGGUUAACCGAAUAGGGGAGCCGAAGGGAAACCGAGUCUUAACUGGGCGUUAAGUUGCAGGGUAUAGACCCGAAACCCGGUGAUCUAGCCAUGGGCAGGUUGAAGGUUGGGUAACACUAACUGGAGGACCGAACCGACUAAUGUUGAAAAAUUAGCGGAUGACUUGUGGCUGGGGGUGAAAGGCCAAUCAAACCGGGAGAUAGCUGGUUCUCCCCGAAAGCUAUUUAGGUAGCGCCUCGUGAAUUCAUCUCCGGGGGUAGAGCACUGUUUCGGCAAGGGGGUCAUCCCGACUUACCAACCCGAUGCAAACUGCGAAUACCGGAGAAUGUUAUCACGGGAGACACACGGCGGGUGCUAACGUCCGUCGUGAAGAGGGAAACAACCCAGACCGCCAGCUAAGGUCCCAAAGUCAUGGUUAAGUGGGAAACGAUGUGGGAAGGCCCAGACAGCCAGGAUGUUGGCUUAGAAGCAGCCAUCAUUUAAAGAAAGCGUAAUAGCUCACUGGUCGAGUCGGCCUGCGCGGAAGAUGUAACGGGGCUAAACCAUGCACCGAAGCUGCGGCAGCGACGCUUAUGCGUUGUUGGGUAGGGGAGCGUUCUGUAAGCCUGCGAAGGUGUGCUGUGAGGCAUGCUGGAGGUAUCAGAAGUGCGAAUGCUGACAUAAGUAACGAUAAAGCGGGUGAAAAGCCCGCUCGCCGGAAGACCAAGGGUUCCUGUCCAACGUUAAUCGGGGCAGGGUGAGUCGACCCCUAAGGCGAGGCCGAAAGGCGUAGUCGAUGGGAAACAGGUUAAUAUUCCUGUACUUGGUGUUACUGCGAAGGGGGGACGGAGAAGGCUAUGUUGGCCGGGCGACGGUUGUCCCGGUUUAAGCGUGUAGGCUGGUUUUCCAGGCAAA